rnacentral:rRNA from 1 species
AGGUCCCGCCUGCCCAGUGACUAUCUGUUCAACGGCCGCGGUACUCUGACCGUGCGAAGGUAGCGCAAUCACUUGUCUCUUAAAUGGGGACCUGUAUGAAUGGCAUAACGAGGGCUAAACUGUCUCCUUUUUCAAGUCAAUGAAAUUGAUCUUCCCGUGCAGAAGCGGGAAUACUAACAUAAGACGAGAAGACCCUAUGGAGCUUAAGACACCAAAGCAGGGCAUGUUAAAAAUUCCCAUAUAAGGAGAUGAACCUAGUGGCCGCUGCCCUACUGUCUUUGGUUGGGGCGACCGCGGAGAAGAAAAAAACCCCCGUGUGGAACAGGGAUAACCCCCCUUAAACCCAGAGUGACAACUCUAACAAACAGAACUUCUGACCAAUUUAAGAUCCGGCAAAGCCGAUCAACGGACCGAGUUACCCUAGGGAUAACAGCGCAAUCCCCUUCUAGAGCCCAUAUCGACAAGGGGGUUUACGACCUCGAUGUUGGAUCAGGACAUCCUAUUGGCGCAGCCGCUACUAAGGGUUCGUUUGUUCAACGAUUAAAGUCCUACGUGAU